GGGACAGAGAAAAGAAAGAUGCAAAACAAUAAGCAGACAGCUGCUGAAAUAGGGAAGCCGUGACGUCACUCUGCAGAAAGCAGAACACCCUGUCCCACUCCAGAACUUCAAAACAAGCACCUCUCCGGAGUCGAGCACCCAGCUCUCUGGAGCAGCUAUAGCGUCCACCUGGCCCGGGCAGGAUCUUACAGAGCUGAAGCGGGCCUUGAACUCACUGCGUGCAAGUAUGGCUGGGAACUCAUGAUCCUCCUGCAUCUGCCUCCCCAGUGUUGGGAAUACAAGUAUGCGCCAUCACCCAGAGACAGUUCUCACAUGGGGGUGAGGAGUCACAUCAUAAAGUCUUGAGGCACCCUGCCUACCUACAACAAACGUUGGCAUUGUUGAGCAAGUGAUACACCGUGACUGCAGGAAGUCAUAGAUGUAAAUAACCCGACUUCGGAAAACAAAGCAUCAAACCAGAGCAACUCGAGCAACAAUCAAAGCGGCCUUUCUUCAUAAACAACGCUUUGAUCCUGAGAACUUCUAUGAAGUAUACAGUAGUGGUUUGGUUUUGAAAUAGAUCUUGCCCACCAUAUCAGAGUAUAUGUUCCUUCCUUGGUCCCUUUCAUCUUGAUGAUAAUUUAGAAACCUCAGAACUCCCUUUUAUAGGAAGAGGCUCUUUGAGCAUUUCCUCUCUGCUUCAAGGACAAUCCCUCAGAGGAGGGCAGUUAGCUGGCCAGCCAGCGUUUCUGGAGGUCAUGCCUGGCACAGCUUCUCUUGGACAAUCUGAGCUCCUGCUGGGCCACCUCCUCCUCCCUUCCCCUUCCUUCAUAUCCUCUUCUCUCCAGGGCCAGAUGCUAGACCUGCAGUUCCUGCUGAAUCACGACUCAGUACUUAGUUUAGCCAAGAAGUAUGAACACCUAACUCAGCAUUUUCCAAGAGCUGAGUACUUUCUUUCUUUGGUACUGGCUAAACAUGGCUUUGAGCUGGGCAGGGUAGUAGAGAAGAGAUAAAAAUGAAACACUUGGAGAACAGGAGUAUCAUGCCACAUCACGGCAUGGAGACUCAUCUUAACCCUAGUUUAUACCUUUCCAACUGUGUCUGCAAUGUCUUGUCUCAUUCCCCAGAUCUCAGAGCUGAUGCCCCAGACACAGGGCUAAUGACUGCUUCUGUUAUGUCUGCCCAGCAGAGUUUGACUGACUCUGUAUCACCUUCAGACCUGGGGGAGUGGAUAUGGGUCCUAGGAGGGCUGUUGGGUUCUCAGCUUAGAGGUUCACGGACUCAGUGUUCACCAAGAUCUAUAAACUUGCUGUGAGUUCUCCACAUGGUUCAGUUAUAACCCAACGGCGAGGGCAGCUAGUACUCAGACUCAUCAAAGGAACUAAUUUUGUGCCUUCUUUCAUUCAGUACCAGUAGGGCCUCACCCUCGUAAUCCCGUAAGCCCUCUGAGUUCAUGCUCUCUGGCAUGUGAUGGAAAUGUGGCCCAUAACGUUAAUCCUUCAGUCAGAGUUCAGCAGACUAGCAGAUGAUUUCAUGAACUACAUCUAUGAGUUCCCUUGGGAAAAACAAGGUGAUCUUUGAGAGCGGUAACAGAAAGGAAAGAGAGCCCAUGCUUCUAUGUUGGCACAAGCCAGAAAGGGGUAUCUUCCCCUUGGAAGCUGAACUCCCAGAAGACUUGUUUCAGGAAUCCUCAAGCCUCUUUGUUAUUUCCCCAAACAGGGAAGAAACAGUUCUGGACACAAACGCUUCGUUCCACAGUUUACAGGAUGGGAGCGUUAGCAAAACUCCAGUCUGAGAGUGAUAGGAAAGCUAGAGGCUACUAGAGAUGCUCACAAAGGCAGAACCCAAGCACAGUGAAACUAGACAGAUUUACUUCUCAGGAGGCCAGUGGAGAGCCAUAGCCUGGCCGGAGGACUGGCAGGACUCAAACCAGUGGCUCCAGGAAGUCUCUAGGAACAUGGCCACCCAGCUCUCUGUGCUGUAUGUAACUGCUUACUGUGAUAUUUCAAAUAUAAAGCCCCGUGCCUGCAGUUGUUCUUUUUAUUGGAGAUCAAGACUGAGUCCCUGUUAGACACAUACAGCGAAUGUGACCGAGGUGCCCUCAAUUCCAGUGCAACAGGAAAAAACAACACCCCGGGGCCUCAUAGGAAAGGGAAGUGGCACUUAGCAUUUGUCCUGGCCCUGGAGUCAUAAAGCCCAAAGGGACAGGGGGUAUCUUCUUCAAGUCCUGGUAAUGGCUCUGAGUGACAGGGACAGCAUCCAACUACCCACAAUAGGGUGAAGACAUUAAAAUAAGAUCUAGUGUCAUCCUUGAUAUAUUUAUAUAUAUUCCCAUUAAAAUAAAAAAGUGCCCUCUGACUCUUCCA